rnacentral:rRNA from 1 species
AAUGAACGCUGGCGGCGUGCUUAACACAUGCAAGUCGAACGAGAAAGGGUUCUUCGGAACCUGAGUAGAGUGGCGCACGGGUGAGUAACACGUGGACAAUCCUACCCCGAGUCCGGGAUAACAUUUCGAAAGGGAUGCUAAUACCGGAUAAUGUCUGUUUUACUUCGGUUUUUCAGAUCAAAGGUGGCCUAUCCUUGGAAGCCAUUGUUUGGGGAUGAGUCCGCGUACCAUUAGCUUGUUGGUGGGGUAACGGCCUACCAAGGCGAUGAUGGUUAGCUGGUCUGAGAGGAUGAUCAGCCACACUGGAACUGACACACGGUCCAG